rnacentral:rRNA from 1 species
AGUGAACGCUGGCGGCAGGCCUAAUACAUGCAAGUCGAACGGCAGCACAGCAGAGCUUGCUCUGUGGGUGGCGAGUGGCGGACGGGUGAGGAAUACAUGGGAAUCUGCCCAGUCGUGGGGGAUAACGUAUGGAAACGUACGCUAAUACCGCAUGCGCCCUACGGGGGAAAGUCGGGGACCGCAAGGCCUGACGCGAUUGGAUGAGCCCAUGUUCGAUUAGCUGGUUGGCGGGGUAAAGGCCCACCAAGGCGACGAUCGAUAGCUGGUCUGAGAGGAUGAUCAGCCACACUGGAACUGAGACACGGUCCAGACUCCUACGGGAGGCAGCAGUAGGGAAUAUUGGACAAUGGGGGCAACCCUGAUCCAGCCAUGCCGCGUGAGUGAAGAAGGCCCUCGGGUUGUAAAGCUCUUUUUGUCCGGAAAGAAAAGCAAUCGGUUAAUACCCGGUUGUUCUGACGGUACCGGAAGAAUAAGCACCGGCUAACUUCGUGCCAGCAG